UGGGGAAUCUUGGACAAUGGGGGCAACCCUGAUCCAGCGAUGCCGCGUGAGUGAUGAAGGCCUUCGGGUUGUAAAACUCUUUCACCUGCGAAGAUAAUGACGGUAGCAGGAUAAGAAGCACCGGCAAACUCUGUGCCAGCAGCCGCGGUAAGACAGAGGGUGCUAGCGUUGUUCGGAAUGACUGGGCGUAAAGGGCGCGUAGGCGGCCAAUCAAGUCAGAUGUGAAAGCCCCGGGCUUAACCUGGGAUGUGCAUUUGAUACUGGUUGGCUGGAGUACGAGAGAGGAAAGUGGAAUUCCUAGUGUAGAGGUGAAAUUCGUAGAUAUUAGGAGGAACACCAGAGGCGAAGGCGGCUUUCUGGCUCGUAACUGACGCUGAGGCGCGAAAGCGUGGGGAGCAAA
rnacentral:rRNA from 1 species